CAGGUUUCUGCGCUGAGCAGGAAGGUCUGACUGCCUGAGGCACUGAGAUUAGAAAGUUGCUGUGUGAGUUCAGGGAACAGCCUGGAGGACAUGGAACGUUUGGGGAGGAAAUGAAGCUGCCCGAAGGCUGACAACUUUGGCAAAGCAACCAUGGAGAAAGGGAACAUGCCAACAGACAUGAAAUUCUUCAGUGUCUUGAAUGGGAAAAGAAAAAAAUGGGAGCUUGACAGGAGUGGUAAAGGAUCUGUCAGUGGGAAUGCUGAGACCCUCUGGUGAUGUGACAAUUUUUAUGUGGGGUGGAAUAGAAGAAUCAGAGUGGAGAAGUAACAUUUGGAGUUGAAUCCCAGCCCCCCUUUAGAUAUUGAUAGGUCGCUCUCAAGUCUCUCCAGAG
ensembl:lncRNA